AAGUCGUAACAAGGUUUCCGUAGGUGAACCUGCGGAAGGAUCAUUACAAAUUCGGGUCUACCCAGGCCAUGAACCAACCAGUGUGAAACCAAUUGUCUGCUGGCAGCCAGGCUUUGAGUUGAUUAAUUUCCUCGGGCUACUGCCAGCUUUUGAUUUACUUUGAUUUUUACAAAUGACUACUUCUAGAGGACUUGUCGUUGGCCCCAGAGUCUGGUUAGCUCCAAGCUUAUGAUCAGUGGCAGGUUUCGUCUAAGGAUUGAACAACUUUUAGCAACGGAUCUCUAGGCUCUU
rnacentral:misc_RNA from 1 species